rnacentral:rRNA from 1 species
AGUGAACGCUGGCGGUAGGCCUAACACAUGCAAGUCGAACGGCAGCACAGUAAGAGCUUGCUCUUACGGGUGGCGAGUGGCGGACGGGUGAGGAAUACAUCGGAAUCUACUUUUUCGUGGGGGAUAACGUAGGGAAACUUACGCUAAUACCGCAUACGACCUACGGGUGAAAGCAGGGGAUCUUCUGACCUUGCGCGAUUGAAUGAGCCGCUGUCGGAUUAGCUAGUUGGCGGGGUAAAGGCCCACCAAGGCGACGAUCCGUAGCUGGUCUGAGAGGAGGAUCAGCCACACUGGAACUGAGACACGGUCCAGACUCCUACGGGAGGCAGCAGUGGGGAAUAGUGGACAAUGGGCGCAAGCCUGAUCCAGCCAUACCGCGUGGGUGAAGAAGGCCUUCGGGUUGUAAAGCCCUUUUGUUGGGAAAGAAAAGCAGCAGGUUAAUACCCCGCUGUUCUGACGGUACCCAAAGAAGAAGCACCGGCUAACUUCGUG